UACGGAGGGUGCGAGCGUUGUCCGGAAUCACUGGGCGUAAAGAGCGUGUAGGCGGUUCGGUAAGUCUGCCGUGAAAACCUGAGGCUCAACCUCGGGCGUGCGGUGGAUACUGCCGGGCUAGAGGACGGUAGAGGCGAGUGGAAUUCCCGGUGUAGCGGUGAAAUGCGCAGAUAUCAGGAGGAACACCGGUGGCGAAGGCGGGUCUCUGGGCAGUAACUGACGCUGAGGAGCGAAAGCGUGGGGAGCGAACAGG
rnacentral:rRNA from 1 species